rnacentral:tRNA from 2 species
GCCGGCGUAGCUCAGUGGUAGAGCAGCUGAUUUGUAAUCAGCUGGUCGGGGGUUCAAGUCCCUUCGCCGGCU